rnacentral:rRNA from 1 species
UACGGAGGAUGCAAGCGUUGUCCGGAUUUACUGGGCGUAAAGAGCGCGCAGGCGGUCGUAUAAGUCGAAUGUGAAAGCCCCCGGCUCAACUGGGGAGGGUCAUUCGAUACUGUUCGACUCGAAGGCAGGAGAGGGAAGUGGAAUUCCGGGUGUAGUGGUGAAAUGCGUAGAUAUCCGGAGGAACACCAGUGGCGAAGGCGACUUUCUGGCCUGUUCUUGACGCUGAGGCGCGAAAGCUAGGGGAGCAAACGGG